GCUGCGGCGGCUCCUGUGGGGACGCGGGCUACGACCAAGAGUUAGGAAAAGGAACCAGUGGGUGAUUUGCACCCCAGUCACAACAGCCUCAACUGGAAAACCCACCGACAGCCAUUCAGGUGGGGGCACAGCCACGUGUUUGAUGGCACGAGGAUUCACUUUCUGGGGAGAAGGACUCCUGCGUAUCGGGGGAGCUCUUCUGGCCACUUCCUCACUGGUGGUACACUUAUCUUCAUGAGUUGGAAGGGCUGCGAGAGGAGGAGAUGAUCCAGUGAGGUACAAACAGAAUACUAAGAAUUGUUAAUGAGAGAAUUCUAAAUAAUUUCCUCAAAAGAAGUUAUUUGAGGAAAAUCUUCUGACAGAAGAAUGCCGAACAUUUCAGUCCGUGGCGUUUGGAGUUGAUUUGGAAUAUUUACAUUUGAAGUGGUUUCAAGCUGCAGAUUUCUUGUCCAGGUCAAAUAUUGAAGUAAAUGCAUGGCUCUGCUUAGACACCUCUUUGAGAAAACGUGCACCGUUAGGAAGUUUCUGUUCCCCAAAGUGCUGUAAUUUUGAAACAGUCGUCUCCAGGUGGAAUGAAGUGUGGGUAUUUCCUGAGGUGCCACAUUUGGUACCACUGGGCUGUAAGUAUUGAUAUCUGUAAAGGUUCGUAUCUGAAGGUGCUUCAUUGCUGUUCUAAUUAAUGAGAUUGUGGUUGAAAAAGGAGGGUGCAGGUUUUUAGCUCUGUGUUGCAUAAACAUC